rnacentral:rRNA from 1 species
GUGGGGAAUAUUGGACAAUGGGCGCAAGCCUGAUCCAGCCAUGCCGCGUGAGUGAUGAAGGCCUUAGGGUUGUAAAGCUCUUUCAGUGGGGACGAUAAUGACGGUACCCACAGAAGAAGCCCCGGCUAACUUCGUGCCAGCAGCCGCGGUAAUACGAAGGGGGCUAGCGUUGUUCGGAUUUACUGGGCGUAAAGCGCACGUAGGCGGAUCGUUAAGUCGGGGGUGAAAUCCUGGAGCUCAACUCCAGAACUGCCUUCGAUACUGGCGAUCUUGAGUCCGGAAGAGGUGAGUGGACCUCCUUGUGUAGAUGUGGAAUUCGUAGAUAUUAGGAGGAACACCAGUGGCGAAGGCGGCUCACUGGUCCGGUACUGACGCUGAGGUGCGAAAGCGUGGGGAGCAAACAGGAUUAGAUACCCGAGUAGUCC